UGGGGAAUAUUGGACAAUGGGCGAAAGCCUGAUCCAGCCAUGCCGCGUGUGUGAAGAAGGCCUUCGGAUUGUAAAGCACUUUAAGUUGGGAGGAAGGGCAGUAAGCGAAUACCUUGCUGUUUUGACGUUACCGACAGAAUAAGCACCGGCUAACUCUGUGCCAGCAGCCGCGGUAAUACAGAGGGUGCAAGCGUUAAUCGGAAGUACUGGGCGUAAAGCGCGCGUAGGUGGUUCGUUAAGUUGAAUGUGAAAGCCCCGGGCUCAACCUGGGAACUGCAUCCAAAACUGGCGAGCUAUAGUAGGGCAGAGGGUGGUGGAAUUUCCUGUGUAGCGGUGAAAUGCGUAGAUAUAGGAAGGAACACCAGUGGCGAAGGCGACCACCUGGGCUCAUACUGACACUGAGGUGCGAAAGCGUGGGGAGCAAACAGG
rnacentral:rRNA from 1 species